GACAGAAGGUGCAAGCGUUACUCGGAAUUACUGGGCGUAAAGCGUCUGUAGGUUUUUGACCACGUCUGGCGUGAAAUUUCGGGGCUCAACCCCGUCCCCACGCUGGAAACGAGUCGGAUAGAGUCAUUCAGAGGCAUCUGGAAUGUCGUGUGUAGGGGUGAAAUCCGUAGAUCUACGAAGGAACGCCAAAAGCGAAGGCAGCUCUCUGGGUCCCUACCGACGCUGGGGUGCGAAAGCAUGGGGAGCGAACAGG
rnacentral:rRNA from 1 species